UAGUAGUAGUUAUGUUCUUGAAAAUUAAAAAAGUUGGCGGUAUUUUAGUCUAUUUAGAGGAACCUGUCCUAUAAUCGAUAAUCCACGAUUUGAUUUACUUAUUGUUUAAGUUUGCAUAUCGCUGUGGUUUGAAUAUUUUUAAAGAAAAGGUAAUGUUCAAUAAGUUUAUAAGAAAAAAAUUCAGGUCAAGAUGUAGCUUAUAAAUAAGAAGAGGUGGGUUACAAUAAAUUAAUUUAUAAUGGAUAAGUAAAUUUAAUUUUACUUUGAAGGUGGAUUUAAGGGUAAU
rnacentral:rRNA from 1 species